UUACGGCCAUAUCACGUUGAAACACCGGUUCUCGUACGAUCAUCGAAGUUAAGCAACGUCGAGUCUGGUCUAUACCUAGAUGGGUGACCGCUUGGGAAUACCAGAUACUGUAAG
rnacentral:rRNA from 1 species